UCGCGACUGAUUGAGUGACAGAAACGCCAGCAGCCUGCAGCAGAGCUCUCAUCUCUCCUCUGCGGUCACUUCACGUCGUGCUGCUGGACGCUGUAUUGACAAGGCGCUCUGAUCAGCUGGGUCGAUACCAACUAAAUCGCGAGGAAAUAAAAGCGCAGGUUGUUCCGUCGCGGUCGGUUAGUUGCCGACCGGAGCGCUUCAUUUUUAUGGGUCCCAGCGAGUGUUGAAAGCAUCACAGUUGGAGUUCAUUAAAACGCAGCAGCAUUGGACUCAUCCUGGCGGGUCAGAGAUCAGGGUUGGAUUCUGAACCGGGAGCUGAAAAGAACGCAGUGCUGUGCACAAGGACCCUUCAGCAGGGCAGAACGGAGAGGCUUGAGCUGGGGCCCUCCAGCUGAAAGACAGACUCUUUAAGCGCCACACAGAUCUGCUUCCUGCAUCAAGCACACUGUGCACAAACAUACCCGUUUUCAUGACAACAUCUCCUGGGAAAUGGUUUGUCCAAAGUUGCCUCUGGUUGUUUUUUUCUAAAACUCAUAAUAACUCUAUCACUGUCAGGAGUCAAGAAAGUCGUUUUCCGGUGGCGACAAGAGUUUUGACGUUAUGAAUCAGUUUAACGUACAGAAAAUAUUGAUUAUGAAAACUCUGACAGGUUUUGACAUCCAGUCGAAAUUUCUCUUCUGCCUGACGGGGCACAUCAGUCGAGGAGUAGAGAAACAGAAUGACCAUAGCUGCAGGGUUCACUUGUUUUGAUCAAGCACCUUAGAGAGGCCAACACUCAGAUUAAGAUAUGCCGAUAUCUUGUCAGAUGUCCGCUACCCUCCGCCAGUGGGCAGACACAAUACAGCUGCCUCUUGUUCAUUUCAAGGUCAAAGGUGAAAAGGCACAUUAUAAUGUCAAGUGUUUUGUCUUGAGCUGGUUUGGAGCUUGGUUCUGGUGUGGUUUGGGCUCAGAUUUUGUAAAAAUCUGUUGUUUUUCCACAAAAAACACAUCUUCAGAUUCACUUGACUUUCAGUACUUGCUAAAAUAUGCUGCAGAAAAUUUGCAAAAUUAUUUUUUCAGAAUUGAUUAAUUUGUUUUUAAUUAAAAGUUAAAAUGUUUUAUCCUAUUGCAAGCUACAUAUCUGUGGGUUUUUGGAGCGCCAGGUCGGACAAAACCCGCCAUUUUAAAUACGUCAUCUUGGGCAUUGAGGAAUUGUGUUAUUUCAUAGACUAAAUGUUCAAUCAGAUAAUCAAGUAAUCAAGAAAAUAGAUUGCAAAUGAAUUCAUAAUGAAAAUAACUGUUAGUUUCUGCCCUGUUGUAUUUUUAUUGUACCACAAAAGUGUGAAGCUUCAACAGGUCUCACUUUGAUUGAAAAAAAAAAAAGACUUAAACCGGCCUUUGCUGUUAUUGUCUGGCGUCUAAGGGGUUAAGGUCUUCACAGAUUCUCUGG